CAGUCCAGAUUGUUUCUCUUCUUGGGCUGACUCUUUCAGCCAAUCCAAUUUUUCUUGUGGCGUGGCCUGCUUCUGUAACUGGACUAGCAGGUCCCAGGAGACCUCUUUUGAUUUCUGUGUUAGGUCUUCCAGUGUUAUAAUAAUCUGGCCUGA